rnacentral:tRNA from 1 species
GCCGCCCUAGCUCAACAGUAGAGCAACUCUUUUGUAAAGAGUAGGUUCUGGGUGCAAAUCCCGGGGGCGGCUCCA